GACGAACGCUGGCGGCGUGCUUAACACAUGCAAGUCGAACGAUGAAGCUGGAGCUUGCUCUAGCGGAUUAGUGGCGAACGGGUGAGUAACACGUGAGCAAUCUGCCCUUGACUCUGGGAUAACUGCGGGAAACUGUAGCUAAUACCGGAUACUUUCACCGGGGGGCAUCCUCUGGUGAUGAAAGAAUUUCGGUCAAGGAUGAGCUCGCGGCCUAUCAGCUUGUUGGUGAGGUAACGGCUCACCAAGGCGACGACGGGUAACCGGCCUGAGAGGGUGACCGGUCACACUGGGACUGAGACACGGCCCAGACUCCUACGGGAGGCAGCAGUGGGGAAUAUUGCACAAUGGGCGCAAGCCUGAUGCAGCAACGCCGCGUGAGGGAUGAAGGCCUUCGGGUUGUAAACCUCUUUUAGCAGGGAAGAAGCGAAAGUGACGGUACCUGCAGAAAAAGCACCGGCUAACUACGUGCCAGCCGCCGCGGUAACAC
rnacentral:rRNA from 1 species